GGGGCUGACUUGGAUUUCGACAGAUUUCUUGUCGCACAGAUAGCAUGCCAAGUGCUGCUUGUAAAACAGCAACAAAAAUAACUGUAAACAACGCAGAUUACGCUCCAGCUUACGCUAAAGCUGCGUGAGUUAAUCUCCUUUUGGAGCUGGACUGAUUAGAAUUUCUAGCGUUUUAAUCACUCCAUAACCUUAAGCUAGACGCUUUUAAAAGGUGGUUCGCCUUUUAAACUAAGAAACAAGAACUCUUGAAACUAUCUCAAGGUUUUAGAAAGUUGGACCAGAGCUAGUUUUAAGGCUAAAAAACUAACCAAUUUUCUAAGCAUUGUAGAAGUUUGUGUUUAGGGCAAGAUUUUUGGACUGGGGUUCGAUUCCCCACAGCUCCACCA
rnacentral:tmRNA from 1 species